rnacentral:rRNA from 1 species
AAACGUAGGAGACGAGCGUUAUCCGGAUUUACUGGGCGUAAAGCGCGUGUAGGAGGCAUGUCAAGUUGGAUGUAAAAUCUCCCGGCUUAACUGGGAGGCGUCGUUCAAAACUGAUGAGCUAGAGUACUGUAGAGGUAAUCGGAACUCCGGGAGUAGCGGUGAAAUGCGUAGAUAUCCGGAAGAACACCAGAGGCGAAAGCGGAUUACUGGACAGAAACUGACACUGAGACGCGAAAGCCAGGGUAGCAAACGGGAUUAGAGACCCCGGUAGUCCUGGCCGUAAACGAUGUAGACUCGUCGUUUGGGAGGUAAAACUCUUGAGUGACUAAGCAAACGCAAUAAGUCUACCGCCUGGGGAGUACGGUCGCAAGAUUAAAACUCAAAGGAAUUGACGGGG